rnacentral:rRNA from 1 species
ACAUGCCUACAACAUAGCAUUAAUGCACUGAAUCCCAUUAGAACUUCACAAUUAAGUGCACUCAGGAUAGAGUAGUAUUGGGAUGGGUGAUCUCCCGAGAAGUCCUAGUGUUUUACAUGCC